rnacentral:lncRNA from 1 species
AAAAUCCUUCUUAAGUAAUGAAAAAGCAGGUUAGCUCCGAAGAGCCGAUCCUUUAGUGUAGGCUGGGCUGCUAGUUUUCGGCUUUCAAAGUUAUGGUUGUUAGGUUCUAUUGGGUUUCGACAUGGGUUUGUAUUAAAAUAGGCUGAGACUGAGAGCCACUUUUGCUACUCCUUAUAUUUUAAUUUUAAUGCAAGAAUCAGUUCAAGAAAAAAGUUACGUUAACAAAUAAACUAAAAGCAAAUUGGUAAUUGUAGCAUUUGUUCUUACCAACGAGUUCUCUAGAACCGGAG